AGCCAUACCAGGUCGCUCCUGGACAGACCAGGUCGCUCCUGGUACUGUGAGACAGUCAGGUAAGGUAAGAGUUAAACAGUUAAAAGAAGUCCAGGUGACCGACGUAGUCUCCCUGGCACAGUUGGACUUUUAGAGAAGACCAGGUGACCGAAGUAGUCUCCCUGGCGCAGUGGGACAUAUUAUUAUAUGUAUAUAGUAGAGGGCUAGUGGUGACACAUUCAUCCGUGAGAUGUUAUGUUUGUGAUGUGAUGCAUUCCAUAAGAGCAUGUAAUGAAUGAACUAUUUUAUUGUUCCUCCUCACUGGGCUAUAGAGCUCAUCCCACUCCCUUAACCCAAGUUUUGCAGGUUCCGAGAUAGCUAUGGGAAGUCAGAGUCAGCAAGAGUAAAGAGUACAGUUCUGCAUGGUUGUAUGUAUGUAAUAGAGUAGUGGACAUGAUGUAAUAAAAGAUUAGUUGUAAUGUAAUGUAUAGAUAUGUACUGUCAUAUACUGGAUAGACUUGUGCUUUCCCUAAUGUCUUUGCUUUAGUGUGAUGUAUGAUUAAUCCCUUGUACAUGACUCCUGUUUUACGUUUCUUGAUGAGAAAUGUGUGUAUCAGGCUUAAUGUAUGGCUUUGAUGAGAUACCAGUGGAUUGUGUUACAGAUUACUAAGGGUUUCAAUCCUUUGACCCACAACAGAUAGUAGUCACUGGUCUAGGCCCUGAAGGCCAUUUCAGAUUGGCAUAUCUGAGUAGCAGUAGUUAAGCUUGGAGAGUUUUACAAGAUUGUUGAGUAUUUUUUAUCAUGUAUGGGAUUUAUCAGGUACACAGAGAGGAUAGUCGGCUUGCUACGGGUCCCGGCGGCCUUAAGCCGAUCUGGAUCCUAGUGCCAGUGAUGGUUCGGACCGUUACAGAGGGGUACCGGUUUCCGGGCUGUUACACUAGCGGAUCUUCCUUUCAAGUUGGAUCUGAUUCUGUUAGUUCGGAUUUUCUUGUUUUGGGCUAGGGUUAUUUUUAUGGGCUUAGAGUUGUAUUUUAAUGCUUUUUGUUGUAAGGCUUCAGGCCCCUUUUUGUGUAUUUUGCACUUUUUUUAAUGAAAGAUUAUCUUUGGCAAAAGUAAAAAACUAUAUUAUAUUAUCCAUUAAUUAUACAAACAAUGCUAGAUAGUUCAUUUAAAUACUCUCUCCAAUUUCUACAAGAAGAAUAAACUACAUAUUACUAAUGCAGGUAGAGUAUAUUAAAAUUAGCUAAAUGUUUAUUAAGUAAGAUUUUGAGUUUAAAUCUUAUGGAGAAAAAAAAACCCCACUCAAACAUGUCCCUCUAUUUAAAUCUAACAACAAUUUGCACUACUACAUUUUAGGGUUUAGAUAGCGGUAUCUUAGCUGUAAUUGUGAAAUUUUUGUCUCAAUACUAUUAAACAAUAGUUUGGCAACAAUUUAAAAUUGUUACAAAUAAAUUCACUUUUUUAUUGAACAUAAUAAUAUACUUUAAUAAUGUAACACCUUUACCCUAUCAAAGUGCAGACAGAGCAAGGAUGGUCACAAACUAUACCUUUUUAGAUAUAUCAAGACUAAACAAUUCUAUUUAUAUGUAAUUACCAAGUUAUUAGGUAGUUCAAGUAAAUUUCAUAGAUCGACCUACUAAAUUAUGCUUUUAGCCUUUAAAAGUCCUUUUCACUUAAGUGAGCAUGACGGAUUUUAACAAGCACUUGAAGCAAGCACGUCGGAAAACCGUAAGCACCUCCCCCAUGUGACUCAUUUCUAACUCGCUAAUCACACUGUCUACUUUAUUUCUGAAUAUGUCUAUUUCUUUAUUUGAGUUUUCUAUGAUUCAUUUAUUAACAGGUUAAAGUUAUACUAGCAGCUCUCCUAAGUUGCUCGGGAUAAGGUAGCACCUCUCUUAAUGCUAGUUACUCUAGUAGUGAAAUAGUUUAACCCUUAUCUAGUAAUGUCACUAAUCUAAUUAUGGGUUUGAGGAUAUUACAAAUAAAAUAUUUCUUUUAUGUCUAAUAAAAUUAGAAUUUUAACCAACAAAAUAAAUAAAUAAAUUAUUAUCUUAUAUUCAAUAAUGGAAACAGAUACAAUACUUCUCAAACCGUUACUAUUAACUUAUGACUACAUUAAAAUAUAUAAUAUAAAAAGUAUCAUUUUUUUAUUUCAUGGAUAAGCUAUGUAAUAGUGAAUAUUUCUCUCAUAACAUAAAUCUCCCAGGCUAGGGUACCACAUAACAUCUACGACAUAUAUAGUUGUUAUCACUUAAUAUUUUGAAAAGCAAUAAACAUGCAACCUAUGUAGUGUGAUUAAUUAGAGUAGAGAGCUUGUAUGCCUUGAAUAUCAUCUUGAGUGAGAUCCCUUUUGAUAGUUCCAGGACUAAUCCCUGAGUGCAUAACAGCAUUUGGAUCUUGACUAUGAGCAAGGCCAAGAAGGUGACCUAUUUCAUGCAGAGCCACAGAUUCCAAGUCCAUGUGGUUCAUGUCAGGAUUUGUACUCCAACUCUCAUCUGCAUCAUAAUGAGACCUUCCAUCUUCUGGGUAAAAUGAAUGAGCUAACACCAUGCCAGGCCCAUCAAAAGGCAACCCAUCUCCAUGAUCACCACUGUAAAAUCCAAUCACUAUGUUUGCUUCUUCUUCAGUGGAUGCUUCUUUAAAUUUGAACUCGGAUGCACCUUCCCAACUUUGAAAAGCAUUUGCAAAAGCUGACCUGAGGUCUUGAUCAUCAGGGACACUGGAGCUGAAUGUGUAGGUGAUUUCAAACUUAGACCAUCUCUGCAUACCAGGUGGGAAAUUAUAAAGAGACUGGUUAAGAGAUGUGAGAUUGGCGAUAUUGUCAGGAACUCCACAUCGUGGGAUCAUCAUUUUCUUUAAAGUACUUGAGUCCGGACUUCCAGUAAUCUUGAGGUGAUAAUAUUUUUGAUAUGUUUUGAGUGCAGACUCCAAAUGAUUAUCAAAAUCAUCGGUUAGAAUACUAUCACUUGGAUUCGUGUAAAAUCCGAAUCUUUUGAGGUAUUUUUUCACUUUAUUGAGUCCAGCAACGGUUUGACCCUUGUGGACUUCCUCCAAAUUUUGAAGGAAUUGCAGAUUUUGCUCCUCAGAUUUCAAGAUUCUUGAUUGAAACAUAGAGGGUUGGAUUGUUAGAAAGAGGAAAGAUACAAAAACAUAGGAGAAUGAGAAUUUAGGAGCCAUUGGAGGGAAGGGUGACCUUUCUUUCUUAGCUUGGUGAUUGAAGUUAUAAUUUUCUAUCUAAUUUAUAGACAAAGUUGGUGGAUAGAAGUGUCGUUUCCCCCACUUGCAUGUAGUUGAAAGUCGCCUUAAGUCUUAAGUCAAUUAUGGCUAUGUUUUUAGUCUUGAGUCAAUGAUUGCUCUGUUACGAAUCUUUACUUAUAUAUAUAUAGAGGAUUGCAUAAUUUAUUAGUUUAGGCUAAUUUCACAAUAAAAACCCAACAUGUAUAUAAUUUUACGUUUUAAUCCAAAUAUUUUAAUUUUUAAUUUAUUAUUUUAAUUUUUUUAUUUGCAUGCAAUUUUAGCUAAAUUUUAAAAUUAAUAUCUAAAAUUUGAUAUUUGAAAUUUAAAUUUUGUAUGCGUAAUAUACCAUGAGUAUCAGUUUAUUACAAACAACAAAUCAUAUGUACAAACAAUUAAAUUUCAUAUAUUGAUUUUAAAAUUUAGCUAAAAUGGCAUCCAGGUAUUAUUGUCCAAUUGGCCUUUAAUUUAUACACAUAAUUUAUAAGAAAUUAACACUACAAUUAUUUUCUAUAGCACUAUUGUGUAAUUUCUUGCAUGCUCUUGCUAAAGUUUUGCAGCGAAAUUCUUAAUUUGAAAUCUGUAAUUUUUAUGGAGUAAAUAAGGAACCAUACAAAUGAAUUAGAGAGAUAUCUUUAAUUAAUUUAUUUUAAAUUUUUUAAAAUUUGGUAGAGUAAUUUAUUUAAAAUUUUUUAUACAUAGGUAAACUAAUUGUUACUUUAUUUUUAAUUAUAUAAUUUAAUAUUUAUAUUUUCAAAAUAAUAUUAUAAAAUUCUUAAUUAGUUAUAUUAAAGAAAUUGUUAAAAAUAUUUCAAAGAUAUAAUUUUAAAUAAUAUAAUUUGAAGUGUUGAUAAAUAAUUUUAAUAGCAGCUGGUAUAAUAUUUUAAAUUAAUUAAUAUUUUUUUAAAUAAAAAUUCAAAUUAUUAUUUAAUUCAAACAAUGUAAUAUUAAUAAUGAUUUUAUUAUUUUAAUAAAAAUUAAUAUUCUUAUUUUAUAUUAAAGAUUAAUAUAAUUAGAAAGUUAAUAGAAAAGAAUUGACUUUAAUUAAAUUAAUCAUUAUUUUUUUAUGAAAAAAUUAAGUGCACUAAAUUAUAAAACGGAGAAAAUAUUUAAUUAAUUUAUAAAAAUUAACUUAUAAUAAGUAAUUAAAAUUUUAAGCAAUUACAUGAUUAAUUAAAAUACUAGCAAAAUAAGUAAGCAACUAAUUAUAUACUAAAAAAAAUAGUGAUUUAGCGACCAAAAAGAUUUGGUCGUUAAUUAGCAACUAAUUUGUAACCCUCUAGCAACGAUGUUAAUGAGAGGCUUUGAUUGUAUAAAAAAUAAAUCAGCAACUAUUUUUUUAUUGCUAUUUAGUUGGUAUAUAUCAACAAAAUACAAUAUCGUUGCUAAUUAUGGCGGAAAAUAAUUGCACGAGAUAUCAGUAAUCAAUCUAGCGACAAAGAUGCAAAGUCACAAAUUUAACGACCAUAUUGCGAUAAAGCAACUACACAUCGGCGACAGCACAGCGACCAAUAUAUGGUUACUAAAUAUUUUUUAUGCUACCUAUAUUAUGCACAAAUUUAGCAACUAAAAGUUUAUUAUCGUGACUCAACAAACACUUAGAUACCAUUAUUCAACCAUUUGAAUAGAAUGACGAUUUAAAUUUUGUGACCAAUUAGCAAGGAGUAAAUGGUCGCUAAAUUUUGCAACCAAAGAGCGAUAAAAUAACGAUUACAUAUUUAAUUAUUUUUAAUAAAAAAUUAAUUAAUUAGUUUUAGCUAAAAAAUUAUUUAAUUAAUUUUUAAUUAAAAAUUAAUGCAUUUCUAAAAUAAAAAAUCCUAAUAGUUUUUAAAAAAUAUAUUUUAAUUAAGUUGUAAACUAAUUUUUUUUAUGAAUGUAUAUCUUUAUCAAUAUAUCUAUAUCUAAUUAAGUUAUAAUUAUUAAUUCUACCUGAUUUAAUCAUUAAUAUAUAUUAUAUUAAGUUAAUUAAAGAAAAACACAAUUUUACAUUCAAGCCCUAAUUCUAUAAUCCAUCUUUCUCCCUUACUCUCUAUCGACAGCCCCCUUCCCUUACUCACUUUCUUAAAUUUGAAACUUUUAUUUGAUUUUUUUGUGCAGAUAAGUUGAAAGAGCUUGCUUCCAAGAAAUGUGUGAAACUGGAAAGGCUUUUUGUUUGGUUAUGCCAAAUGGAAGUGUAGCAUCUCCAUUAAGAGGUCAGUACUCAUCUUUUAGCUAAUGUUGUAAACUAUAUCUUUUAGCCAAUUUUCUAAAUUUUCUGUUUGGUUAUGUUCUAAACUGUCUAUUUGGAUUUUAUGAUUCCAUUUCAGUACUAAUCAUUUGGUAAUGUUCUAAACUAUCUAUUCUGUUUGGUUAUAUUCUAAAUUUUCUGUUUGUCCACUUUAGUACUAAUCAUCCUACUAUAGCUGCCAUGAUUUAUAACUUUCAGAAACGAACAUUUUAACAAAAAAUUUUAUGAGUUAAACUAUAAUCUUACCUUUUAAAUUUACUUUGAACUUACUUUGGAACAGAGUUUAAGCUCAUUAGUCCAUGAUGCACAUGGUAAGCUAAAAAAUAAGCUAAUUUUCAAUUUUUAGGCAACUGAAUCAACUACCAUGAUUAAACAUUUUACAAGAAUCAAAUAUUAGCAUAAAUGAUUAGUUAUGCAAAGUUAGUUCAUAAGACAAGCUUUUUGCCAAUCCUCUUUUCCACAACAACAAGAAAUUCGAUGAAGCCAAACCGUGCUACUCUGUUGAACUAAGCAUAGAGCUGCACCUAAAAGCUCCAAUAUUUUGAGUAGAGAUGGUCUGCAGAAUAACCAAUAUCAAUUCCAUGAUCUAUAUCAAAAUUAGAAAGGAAUGUGGCAUUCAGGAAAUACAGGUUAGCCCAUAGGACUUUCUACUAUGGUGAAAGCGUAUUUACAAGCAAAACUCUCAGUUUUCUACUCAACGUGUAUGGAGAGAAAAUAUCUUCUUGUUUCAGUAUUUCUUGCUUCUUCUCACCUGUGAAAAAAAUUGAAGAUCUAACUGCAUGCCAUUCUCCUUGGUGGGGAAAAAAAUACUUUUUAAGUUUUAAAAUCUCCAAGAGUUUCGUUAAGCCACAAAUUCUUUCACUACCUAUGUGCCCUAUGACAUUUCCAAGCAUACCAAAGCAUACAAAUUUGUAAUGCUAUUUGUAUUUAUCGUGUAUUUUUAAUAUUUAAAAUUUUAUUAUUGCACUAUAUUAUUAUUUUUGCUAUUUUAGAUUGUAUAAUGGUGAAUUGAAAUUACUAUUUUAUAUUUGUUUUAUAUUGAAGAAAUGCUAAUUGAAAAUAUAUGUCCAAAUAUUAUUGUUAUAACAAGUUUACGAAUAUAUUAGGCAACAAAUAAUAAUAAAAAAUUAAUUUUAGAGCAGACAUCAAUCAUCAACUUAAAUAAUAAAAAAUUUGCUUCAGUUUAACUAUUAAUUAGUGACUAAAUGAUGAAAAUUUGACAACCAUUUAGCGUCCAAUAUUUGUGACCAUUUCGCGAUUAUGAAAUGGAAAAAAAUUAAUUUUCAAAUAGCAACAAAUUUGCAACCAAAUUGUAGGGACCCUUCUGUAACACAAUUAGUGACCAUUUCGUGACAAAGUUAGUGACCAACAUUUGGAGUGGGGAUCUUGUCUCAGCAUCCAAAUAGCGACAAUUGUGUUGUUGCUGAUUGAUUGUAAUAUAGCAACCAAAUCAUAAUUGGUUACUAAUUCUAUAGCGACGGGACAACAUUAAUCAUUUUGGACACAAAUUGGUUGUUAAUUUGCAAAUAGCAAUCAAUAAUCAUGGAAGAAUUUAAUUCAAUUAAUUUUUUUAAAUUAUUUUUUAUAAAAAUUCAAUUUUAUUAACUUAUAUAUGAAAAUUGUAGAAAGAUAAUAUUUUGUUAUAUUUCACAAUAGAGAUUACAACAUAUUUAUACAUAAGAAAUGGUAUAUAAACUGGAAGAAAAAUCAGGCAUAUGAUUAUACAAUCCCUAAGAUUAAGUAACUAACCCAUCUAUCAAUAUUUAUUUCCUAUAUUAACAUAUUUACUUCCUAUAACCUUCAAUACUCCCCUCAAGUUGGAUCAUAAAUAUUUAUCAUGCCCAACUUGUUAGAAAAAUAUUCUAUUCGAGGCCCAUUUAAAGUUUUGGUGGAUAGAUCACCUAAUUGCUCUCAUGUCUUCACAUAACUAGUGGAAAUUAAAUUUUCUUGAGUCUUCUCAAGGAUGAAAUGACAAUCAACUUCAAUAUGCUUAGUCCGUUCAUGGUAUACUGGAUUGGAAGCAAUGUGAAGAGCAGCCUGAUUAUCACACUAAAGUUUCGCGGGUGAUGCAACAUCUAUACCAACUUUCUUCAAUAGAUGAUUUAUCCACAAAAUCUCACAAGUCGAUUGAGUCAUAGCUCUAUAUUUUGACUCGGCACUGGAUCUGGAUACCACAUUUUGCUUCUUACUUUUCUAAGAUACUAGGUUUCCUCCAACAAAUACAUAGUAGCCUGUAGUCGACCUUCUAUCACUUUUGGAUCCCGCCCAGUCAGCAUUAGAAAAACACUCAAGUGCAGUAUGCCUAUGAUCUCUAUAGAGUAUAUCGAGUACAGAAGUAUCUUUUAGAUAACAUAGAAUUUGUUCUAGAGUGGCCCAAUGUUUCACCGUAGGUGCAGACAUGAACUGACUUACAACACUUACUGCAAAAGCAAUAUCUGGCCGAGUCAUCACCAUAAAGUAGUUUAGCUUUCCAACCAACCUCCUGUACCUCUCUGGAUCAUCAUAAGGGUCUCCAUCAUCUUUUGUGAGACAUAUAUUAGGAAUCAUUGGUAUGGAACAUGGUUUCGCUUCUAUCUUCCCAGUUUCUGCAAGUAAGUCAAGGACAUACUUCCUUUGAGACAAGAAAAUUCUCUUUUUACUCCUCAAGACUUUGACUCCUAAGAAAUACUUAAGCUGACCUAAGUCUUUGGUAUGAAAACUCGCAUGCAAGUAGUUUUUGAGAGAAGAGAUUCCUAUAAUGACAAUAUUAUCAACAUAUACAACAAGGAGAAUAAUACCAGUACCUGAAUUUCUAUAGAAGACUGAAUGGUCACACUUGCUUUUUUUCAACCCAAAUGUUUGAACAACUUCAUUGAACUUUCUAAACCAUGCAUGGGACUCUGCUUCAAACCAUACAAAGAUUUCUUCAAAUGGCAGACUUUUCCAUACUCCCUCUGAGCAACAAAUCCUGGUGGUUGCUCUGUAUACACCUCCUCUUGGAGGUCACCAUAUAAAAAUGCAUUCUUGAUAUCUAAUUGGUGUAAAGGCCAAUGCUGAGAUGCAGCUAGGGAGAUGAACAAGCAGACUGAGGUCAUUUUUACCACAAGAGAAAAAAUGUCAAAAUAGUCAAUGCUAUAGGUUUGGGCAUAACCUUUGGCGACAAGAUGGGCCUUAAGCCUCGCUAUGGAGCUAUCUGGAUUGACUUUGAUGGCAAAAACACAUUUACAGCCCACAACCUUCUUGCCAGAGGGUAAAUCAACUAGUUUCCAAGUAUGAUUUUCAUCUAGAGCCUUGAUCUCCUCAAACAAGCCAAGACCUCUUUAACUGAAGGCAAAGAAAUGGAAUCUAGAGAGACAAUUAAGGAGGUAGAAGAAGGAGACAGGUGAUCAUAAGACAAAAAAUUAGCAACAUAAUAGAUAGAUUUACACUGUCAUUUACCUUUACGAAGACUAAUGGGGAGGUCAAGGUCACUUGGUGAUGGAUCUGAUGGCGAAGAAGAUUCUGGUGCAGGACAUGUAUCAUUAGGUACUGGUCUCCGAGAGUAAACUUGAACAACUGACGGGUUAACAGAAGGCUGAGUAUUAGGAGGAAUAUUACCAUCAGGAUAUGAUUCUAUAAAUAAGCCACUCAUCAUCAUCCUCUUGAUCAGGAGAGAUUUGUGCAAUAGGAUAAAAAGGAACUUUCUCAGAAAAGAUUACAUCUGUUGAGACCAAAUAUUUGUUGAGGUUUGGAGAGUAAUACCGAUACCCCUUCUGAAGGCGAGAAUAUCCCAAGAAAACACACUUCAAAGCUUUAGGAUCAAAUUUAAUCACAUAAGGUCUGACAUCUCGAACAUAGCAAGUAUUGCCAAAACAGUCAUAGUUCGAGAGGAAAUAAUAGCUUCUUAGGAAAGAGGACAUUAUACUGUUUAGCACUGCGAAGGGCAUGCGAUUAAUGAGAAAGCAUGCAGUAGAGACAGUAUCAGUCCAAAAUUGCUUAGGAACUUGCAUUUGAAACAAUAGAGCUCUAGUAGUCUCAAGAAGAUGUUGAUUCUUCCUUUCAGCUAUCCUAUUUUGAGCGGGUGUAUCAACACAUGACGAUUGGUGAAGAAUACCAUGUUGAGUCAUAUAAACCUGUAAUGAUUCUUACAUAUAUUCUUUAGCAUUGUUGCUCCGCAAAAUUUUCACAAAAACAUUAAAUUGAGUCUUGAUUUCAGCACAAAAGGCAGAAAAAUAAGAAAACACUUCUGAACGAUGCUUCAUAAAAUAAAUCCAAGUCAUUCUAGAGUUAUCAUCCACAAAAGUGAUAAAAUAUCUGAAUCCAGUCUUAUAUCCAACGGGACAUGGGCCCCAAACAUCUGAAUGAACUAAUUCAAAAGCAGACUCAACUUGUUUAUUGAUUCUAGGACUUAAAAGAGAUUCGAUGAUGUUUUGCAAAAUGACAUGACUCACAUUCUAGUAAAGAGACCUCAUGAAAUUGAGGACGUAACUUCUUCAAAACUGGCAAAGAAGGAUGUCCCAACCGACAAUAUGCUUCAAAUGGAGAUACAACACUGGAGCAAGCAAUAGACUGAGGUACCUAUGCAUCCAAAAUGUAGAGACCCUCAGAUACAUGUCCUUUACCAAUAAUCUGCUUCGUCACAAGAUCCUGAAUGAGACAAUGAUCAGGAAAAAAAGAAACACAACAAUUUAGGUCUUUGGUAAGUUUACUCACAGAAAUUAAAUUAAAUGCAAGAUUAGGUAAACUUAGCACAGAUGAUAGGGUAAUAGAAGGAGUAGGUUUAACAAUCCCAGAACCCUCAACAUUAUAGGUUGACCCAUCAACUAUAAUAACAGAAGAAGGUGCUUUAUGAGAUCGAAAGCUUGUAAAAAUAUGAAGAUUACCUGUCAUGUGAUUUGUGGCACCAGAAUCAAUGACCCAUUUAUAUGAAGAGGAAAUAAGACACGUUUUACCUAUCUUAGCCGCUACAGAAAACGUUGGAAUAAUUUUAAUAAUAUGGGUCUUACUGUCAAAAACCAUUUCAACCAAAAUUCUAUACUCCUUUACCUUCAAACGAAUUAAAGAAAGAUAACAAAAACUAACCCAGUGAACAGUAUAAAAAAAAAACGCCUCCACCCAACACCCAAACGAAAAAUGAACCACAGAUCUGACAAGCGGGUUGCAAGGCAACUUCGGCGUUCUCUAGGUGAAUGAUGAGAGACAAAUAUUAUCUUAGAUGGGUAACACAAAAGAACAGGAGCCCUAAGUCUCCAAAAAUUUUAAAACUUGACAAAAGAAAAAAAAAAUUAAAUCUCUAUGAGAAUGGCUCUGAUAUUAUGUAGAAAGAUAAUAUUUUGUUGUAUUUCAUAAUAGAUAUUACAAGCUAUUUAUACAUAAGAGAUGAUAUCUAUACAGAAAGAAAAAUCAAGUUUAUGAUUAUACAAUUCCUGAAAUUAAGUAACUAACCAAUCUAUCAAUAUUUAUUUACUAAUUAACAUAUUUACUUCCUAUAAUCUUUAACAAAUAAACUCAUACAUAAUUUUGUAAAGAUAUAUUUAAAUUUUUUUAAAUCAUUCAUAAUUAAAACAAUUAAAAAAUAUUAAAUAAUUUUUAAAUAAUAAAUUAUAAUGAUUAUUUUUACUAUAAUUUGAUUGAAAUAUACCUCAAUCAUAUUUCAAUAUAAUUUAAUUAUAAAUUAAAUAAAAAUAAUAAUUUAUAGAUAAAUAUAUAUUCUAUUAUAACUAAUAUAGAUAAUUUUUAUAUUUAUUAAAAUUAAUAUAAAUAAUUUAUUUAAAUCAAUUAAUUAAUAAAAGUAAAUAUUUUUUGAUGAAAUUUAAAAAUUAUGUAGAUAUUUAUACACAAAGGUUGCUGGAUAGAAAUCUCUUCAUUUCCACUUGCUUGUAUGUGAUCAAAGUCAUCUCAAUAAUUUCUCUUUUAUUUAAGAUGAAAUACUAUAAGUCAGUCUCUCAACUUACAGUUAAGUCAAUGGUUCAGUCUUUAGCCAAUCAUGGCCAUGCUUUUAUUCUUAAGUCAAUACGAUCACCCAAAUUAAUUUAUAUACAUAACUUUGUUAAACGUAAAACAUGAUGUUUAUUAAAAUAUAUUAUUAUAUAUAAUAAAAAAAUUAAAUUUUAUUUAUAAUAAUUAAAAUUAUUAUCAAUAUAUUUCAUUAAUUAAUAAUAUUAAAGUAAUAAUUUCGCUAACAGUAUAAAUUUUAAAAUAGAGCAGUAUUAUCUCUAUCCUACAUAAAGUUUCCUCUCGGUGUAAACCCAAAUCACAUUUUCUCUCUUUCUUAAUUUUACAAAAAGGAUUAGGCAAAUCAACUUUUACAAGGGAAUUGAACUGAACCAUUGUGUAAUUUCAUUAAUUUAAAGUUUUGCAAAAAAAAAAAAAAAAAUCUUUGAGAGCUUACAGAUGUAUUUAAUUUAUUUAAAAUUUACUAUAACGUCGAUUUCAUUUUCUAAUUUCAAACUUUCUGGAAAAGUUUAGCCUUUGCAUUAAUUUGACAGAAUUUUCCGCGACUUGCGCUUUGCCGUGCUCGAAAAUUAUGGACCUUGCCGUGCCAAUUAAGGCGGAAAUUAUGGACCUUGCCGUGUCAAUGAAGGUGGAAAAUUAUGGCCACGACUUUUUUUAUAGGUAAAUCAAUGUUAUUUUAUUUUGAAUAUAUAAUUUAAUAUAUUUUUAUAUUUUAUAUUUUAUAUUUUUAGAAUUAUAUUAUAAAACUUUGUCAAUUAUAAAAUUUUUAAUUAGUUACUUAACGAAAGAUAUAAAUUUAAAUAAUAUAAUUUUAAGUGUUAAUAAAUAAUGUUUUAAUAGCCGUUGCUUCAAAUAAAAAUUAAAAAAACAGUGGUUGGUACAAUUUUCAAGGAUAUAAUUUCACAUUCACUACUAUAUUUUAAGAUUUAAAAAUUUAAUUAAUAAUAUUUUCAUAACAGUUAUAAAAUUAAUAUUUUAAUAAUAUUAAAAUGAUAAUUUAACAGCAAUUUAAAAUUAUUAUAAAUAAAAUUUAUUUUAAAAAAAGCUAUAUAAAAUAAUAUACUGUAAUAAAAAUUUUAUUUUAUAUUUAAAUAAAAUUAUAAUUUUCACUGUAUUAAAUAAAUAAUUAAAUUAUUAUCUUAUAUUUAAUAGUGAAAAUAAAUAUAAAAAUUUUUAAAUUGUUAUUAUUUAAUUAUGACUAUAAUUAAAAUAUAUAAGAUUUAAACUUAUUUUUAUAAUAGAUGUUUAAAAACAAAAAAGAGCCUGGGUUCGUGACUAUAGUAGCACAACAAUUUUCAAGAUUUAUAUGAUAUUUAAUAAUUUAUGUACAAAAACAUUUUUGAAAUAAAAGUAAUUUAUUUUUUUCUACUAAUUUAUACUUAUAAAUAAAUAAAAUAGUAUUAUACUAUCAAUUAUAAAUAAAUAGAUUAAUUAUGGUGCUCUUAGAUAUUGUGUAGUUAGCAUAUAAAAAUUUGUUUAUGAGUAGGGUUAAUCACAAAAAAAAAAAUCAUGUUUUUUACCAUUUUCGCAAUUCUAUUCUAUACUAAUUGAAUUAUUAAUUAAAUUUUAAAUUUUAGAUAUUAUCUCAAAUGCACUCGAUCGUUACUUUUACUAUUAGAGACUAAUGAAAUUAUCAUAUCAUCUGACACGUCAUUGUCAUGUUGUUACGUCAAUAAAAUUCAGAGUAUAAUUGAUAAAAAUUUAAAAAUUUAAGAUAUAAUUGUAAAGAUUUUUUUAAAACUUGGAUUUUUUAGCCAUUUUACAUAAAACGAAUCUUUCAAUUAUUGUCAUCUUAAUUCUUGAUGCUAAUUGAAAAUAUUUCAAAUUUAUACGAUGGUCAAAAUUAAGUCCUUGUUAUCUUCCCAUACGAGCUUGGAUCCAGACUUGGACAAGACAGAAUUUCCCUGUCCAACACGGCUUUAAAAUAACAUUUACUGGUUCCUUUUAAUACACUUAAGUCCUUGUUAUCAGCUCCAAAUCUGAUCAAAAUUAAAAAUUCAAGUAAAAAUCUCUUUUUAUUAUAAAAACAUAAAAAAAUCAUGAAAAUUAACAUGAAAAAGGGAUGAGUUUGACAUCUCAUCAAAAUCCCCCACACUUGCAUAUUGCUUGUUCUCAACUACAGAAUUUCAUAUUCUUAAAAACAUUCCUAUCUUUAGCCAAUUAAAAUUUAAUUGUCCAAUUCAAAAAAUUAAAACAUUAUGCAAUAAGUACUAGCAUAAAUAACUUAAAUACACCAAAGUUCACUAUAACAAGUUUCAUUUUUAAAAUAUGUUUUUUAAAAUAUAAAAUAGGCCCUUAAUCCAAAUUUAAACAUACAAAAUAUUAAAGUACCAUCUUUUGAAAUUAAGUUAUCCUUUUAAGAGAAUGAACUAUAGAAACUUGACUAUACCAAACGAAAUUAAUGACUUUAGGGGUUUUAUUAUACUCUUACUAUACUUUACCUAAAACUAAUGAACUAAACGUGAAACAAAUGGUUAUUGAGCCACUUGUUUCAGAUUUUUCAGUUCAGGUAGCUACUGGCUCCACUUAUUAUCACCUAACUAAAGGCAUGAGGUGAGUUUUUAAAUGGCCUAAAAGGGGUGAUAUUCUCGCAAACAUCAAUCUCUCCAUAUAGAAUCAUCUUAAGAGGUAGCAACCAAAUAACCAAAUGACUGGAGUGGGUCAUAGGAGCACAAUGAUAUAUAUUUUUUAUUUUUUUUAUUUUUCUAUUUUUUUCCUGUUUUCACAAUUUCAAAAUAUAGAAUUUUACGAUUUCAAAUGUAAUUAAGUUUUUUAUUUUUCCGAAAUAUAUGACUGAAUUGGAAAAAUAAAAUCACAUAAACCAAGCAAUGGUGAAGCACAGCCAUUCACAAUCCAAUCAGUGGAAACUAACACUUUCAUUCAUGAUACACGGUCUAGUUUAUUCAAAUUUUGAUAUAAAUAAUUAAAUUCAUUUUUAUAUACGAAAUCAAAUCAUUUAUAUUAACUUCAAUUUUAUUUUUUUAGAUAUUAUUAGUUAAUAAUAUUAGAAAUAUAUAAACAAGUCAAUACCUCGAUUUCUUGUACUUGUGAAUCAUAUUUCUUUUUUUGUGAAGAUGUGAAUCAUAUUUCUAAUGGUCUUCAUUAUUCAUUAUUCAUGAGUUAUUUCUAUUCAAGAAAUUUAUGGGAUAAAAAUGAGAAAAUUCAAGAUUAUAUGAAUAUAGUUUGAUAAUUAGUAAAUUAAAUAUUUACAUAUAUUUAUGUAUUUAUUUUAUAUUUUAAUUAAUCUUAUAUAAAUAAAUAUGUAAUUAAUAGAAUUGUAAUUAUUGACCAUUAAUAAAGUAUAUCAACCUAAUUAACUUAAAGUUUUGUGAUUUAAUCUAAAAUAUAUAAAAUUAAUAUAAUUGUCUAUAUUUAUAAAUUCUAUUGUAUCUAAUUUUAAAGUUUGAAUUGAAUAUCUUCCUAACAUGAUAAGACUACAUGACUUAUUUUAUUAUUUUAUUUGAUUCUUAUAACAAAUAUUUUAUGUGAAAAAAAUUAAAAUUUUUACUAUUUUAUGAUUUAAUUUAAAUAUUUAAAAGUUGAAAUCAGGCAACUUAAAAUUCUUAAAUUUAUCAUAAUUUAUCAAUAUAUUUUUAGAUUUUCAUAGUCUUCUAGUCUGCUAGGAAGAACCAUAUAACUUGGCUUUUUAUACUAGUUCAAAUAAAAAUUGUAGUAAGUCUCUAUUUAUUACUUUUUUCCUUUUUAAAUAUCUUGCCAGAUACUUAUUAUAUUAAAUUUGACUAUUUUAAUUAUAAGAAACUAUUUCAAUAUUAUUAAAAAUAAUAAUUAUAGUCUCGUUAUCUACCGUUAUACUAUUAAUAUAAUAUUAUAAAUUUCAAUUUUUCUGAUACUAUACUCAAUAGCAUAAACUAGAGUUUUGACACACAAGUAUAAAUUUUUCAACGGACAAUUGAUUUUCAAAAAAAAAUUAAGAGAUUUAAAACUAAAAAAUAGGACGAAGCCUUUUUUUAUGGCAAAUCGAACAAGAAUGGAGAAUAAUAAUAGAAAUUUAGAAAUUUAGAGAUAAAUCAUGAUAAAUUAAUUUAGAAAACUCAAGUGAAAUUAAUAUAUUUUAAAGAUUUGAAUUAUAAAACAAGAAUUAGUGCAUUUUAUUCUUUUGAUUAAAAUGAGAAUUUGAUAAUGCAAUUGCAAUAUUACAUUAUUUAUUGAGAUUAAAAAAAAAAACCACCAAAUUUAGUUACAUCUUUUUCAUGUUAUGUUUUAAAUUUAUGCAUCAAGAUCCUUAAAAAGCUCUUAAUUAAUUUAUUUCUAUCAUUAAAAUGCAACUCUUUUAUGGGAAUAUAUCUAAAUUUUAAAAGAGUGGCCUAAAUUUUGCAAAAUAAAUAAUUAGUAGAAGAAAAAAAAAUUCAAAGAGCUAAUUUAAUUUUUCAGAAUUCAAAAUGUGAAUCAUCAGACGAGUCAUUAAGUGGAAGAAAUAUGCAUCAAUUUGAGAGACAGUAUAAAUCAAGUUAAAUCAAUUAGAAAAAAAAAAAGUAAAAAAGCUAAAAGUUAAUAACGCUAUUUUAUAUUUUUUCAUCUUAUAAUUUUUAUUUUUUUUCUACUUUUUUAUAUUGAAUAAUUUUUUUCAUUAAUUUUUUAAUUAUAUGCGUAUUUAAUAUAAAAUGAAUACAUUACAUUUUAUUAAAAUAAUAAAAUUAUUAAUAAGUGAAAAAGUUAUAUUUGAGUAUCAUUGGAGUACAUGAAAUGUAUAUAUAUAUAAAGUUAUAUUUUUUUUAAUUGAAAAUUGAGAGAGUACAACUUGAAAUCUCUCGUAUUUACUUAUAUCAUCUUACCACCGAAUUAAGGCCGUGAGUGCAUAUAAAGUUAUUUAUGAAAUUUUUUUAUUGUUGCAAGUUUGAUAUUUAAAUUUAAUAUUAAAUCUAACCGUUAUGAUUUUAUUAUAUUAUCUCAAGAUUUUUAUAACGGCCAUUUUUUUAUUAUAAAUAGUCUUCAUUUUUACAAAAAGAGGGAAUUCCAUUUUUCUAUUUUAUUCUCUCUUCUCUAUGUUUUCUGAUGGAUUAUAAAUUAGAAAUAAAUUUUUGUUGUUCUGAUCCUGAAAAUUAAAUUUUAGAAGAACACGUUUAAUUACGAGGAAUUACAAAAGUAAAUUUUUAAGGAUAGUGUUCAAUACGACUCAUAUUUUAUUAUUUUAUCCUACUUUUUUAGUGCCAGACUGACCAUGAUGUCUUUUAAAUUGAAAUUCAAAUUAACCAUAAGUAAAUAUUUAAAUACCUUCUUAUAUUCGGUAAAAAAAAAAAUUAUACCUUCUUAUAUAUAUACAUUUCAAUGGUACUUAAAUAUUUUUUUAACUUAAUAUUAUUAAUAAUGAUUUUAUUGUUUUAAUAAAAAUUAAUGUACUUAUUUUAUAUUAAAUAUGUAUAUAAUUAGAAAGUUAAUGAAAAGAAUUUAUUUUCCAACUGAAAUAAUUAUUAUUCUUUAAUCCAUAUUAAAAAGUAAAAAAUAAUAAAAAAUUAUAAAAUGGAAGAAUAUAAAAUAAUUAAGUUUUUCUAGAUUAAUUAAAAGAAAAUAAAGAUUUUAUUUAUAAAAAAGUAAUUAAUUUAUUUUAUAUUAUAUUAUGUUCAUGAAACAUGUGUGAAUAGUAUUUCUAUGUACCUACGUGAAUGAAUUGACUAGAACUUAGUGAGAAACUUGCUUGUGUAUACUUGUAUUUGUCUAUAUAUGGUCAAAUUUAAAAUCAGAAUUGGCUAAACGGCUGUGGUCAUUAAACUAGAAUUGCAACAAUUUUUUGAAUCUCCUCCCUUCUUUAAAUCAUUAUCAAAACCGGCUCGAAAUUCAUCAAUUCAACCAACUAGCUCUGAACAAUAAUUGGUCUAGUUUAUUUUUCUUUAAAAUAAAUCUCCAUUGAUUGAUUUCAUAUUUUUUAAAAAAAUUUUUUACUGUAGAAAUUAAAUAAAUAAUUUAUUAUAAAUUUAAAUUCUAUAAAUUUAUAUAUUUUGAUAUAUAAAAUAUUAAUAUUAUUAUAAUUUUAAAACCUUUGAACCGUGACUAAGUCAAAACUAAAAUUCAACCCAAACUAUUUUAAAACAAAACCAUUAAUUUAAACCCAAAGCAAUUGGAACUAAAAUUAAUUUGAAUUGUGAAGUAUUGCGGACUAGUCAUUAACCAAAAGUUUUAAUCAAUCGCUU
rnacentral:lncRNA from 1 species